CGGACCUCGCGCUAUUGGAGCGGCCGAUGUCGGUAUUAGCUAGUAGGUGGGGUAAAGGCUCACCUAGGCGACGAUCCGUAGCUGGUCUGAGAGGAUGAUCAGCCACACUGGAACUGAGACACGGUCCAGACUCCUACGGGAGGCAGCAGUGGGGAAUUUUGGACAAUGGGGGCAACCCUGAUCCAGCCAUGCCGCGUGAGUGAAGAAGGCCUUCGGGUUGUAAAGCUCUUUCGGCCGGGAAGAAAUCGCAUGGGUUAAUACCCUGUGCGGAUGACGGUACCGGCAUAAGAAGCACCGGCUAACUACGUG
rnacentral:rRNA from 1 species